CUUUGAAAAACCAUCAGAAAGAUGACGACGCGCGUUGUUUUAGCAUUUUUUGCUAUUUGCUUUCUUGGCCUCAAUUUUACGUUUGCAGGGCCCGUAAAUGAAACAAAGGCUGCAGAACCUUCUCCGAGGUUUGAUUAUGGAGGACACACUUAUUACAUACGUGCAUCAGCAGUUGACUGGUUUGGCGCGAGAAAUUUAUGUAGGGAAGAAGGACUAGAUUUAGCGAGCAUUCAAAAUUCCGCCGAGAAUUCCGCUAUUUUGUCCGCUAUAAGCGCCUAUAGCGAAUCGUUCUGGGUGUCUGGAUCGGAUCAAUGGCAAGAAGGCAAUUGGUACUGGGACUCAACAGGAGUGGAUUUUGGGUCAAAUCCUUUUUGGAGUCCUAAUCAGCCUAAUAAUUCCGGCAACUGCCUCAGACUCUGGAACGAUGUUGGUCAUCUCUGGGACGAUGAGGACUGUGUAUCAAAGCAUGCGUACAUUUGUGAGACGCAGAUUAGCCUAUGCACUUAAGCUAUUAUACAAGCAUAUAACAAUUGUUGAUAAUAAAUUUUCUCUUGCAUUAAUGUGAAAUAA